GAGGAAUAUUGGACAAUGGAGGCAACUCUGAUCCAGCCAUGCCGCGUGCAGGAAGACUGCCCUAUGGGUUGUAAACUGCUUUUAUACAGGAAGAAACAGCUCUACG
rnacentral:rRNA from 1 species